GACGAACGCUGGCGGCGUGCUUAACACAUGCAAGUCGAACGGAAAGGCCUCUUCGGAGGUACUCGAGUGGCGAACGGGUGAGUAACACGUGGGUGAUCUGCCCUGCACUCUGGGAUAAGCCUGGGAAACUGGGUCUAAUACCGGAUAGGACCAUGCUUUAGUGUGUGUGGUGGAAAGUUUUUUCGGUGUAGGAUGAGCCCGCGGCCUAUCAGCUUGUUGGUGGGGUAAUGGCCUACCAAGGCGGCGACGGGUAGCCGGACUGAGAGGUUGGUCGGCCACAUUGGGACUGAGAUACGGCCCAGACUCCUACGGGAGGCAGCAGUGGGGAAUAUUGCACAAUGGGCGCAAGCCUGAUGCAGCGACGCCGCGUGGGGGAUGACGGCCUUCGGGUUGUAAACUCCUUUCGCCAGGGACGAAGCGUUUUGUGACGGUACCUGGAGAAGAAGCACCGGCUAACUACGUGCCAGCAGCCGCGGUAAUACGUAUGGUGCAAGCGUUGUCCGGAAUUACUGGGCGUAAAGAGAGCGCAGGCGGUCUGUUUAGUCUAAUGUGAAAGCCCACGGCUUAACCGUGGAACGGCAUUGGAAACUGACAGACUUGAAUGUAGAAGAGGAAAAUGGAAUUCCAAGUGUAGCGGUGGAAUGCGUAGAUAUUUGGAGGAACACCAGUGGCGAAGGCGAUUUUCUGGUCUAACAUUGACGCUGAGGCUCGAAAGCGUGGGGAGCGAACAGGAUUAGAUACCCUGGUAGUCCACGCCGUAAACGAUGAGUGCUAAGUGUUGGGGGCUUUCCGGCCCUCGGUGCUGGAGCUAACGUAUUAAGCACUCCGCCUGGGGAUUACGACCGCAAGGUUGAAACUCAAAAGAAUUGACGGGGACCCGCACAAGCGGUGGAGCAUGUGGUUUAAUUCGAAGCAACGCGAAGAACCUUACCAGCUCUUGACAUCUUCUGACAACUCUAGAGAUAGAGCGUUCCCUUCGGGGACAGAAUGACAGGUGGUGCAUGGUUGUCGUCAGCUCGUGUCGUGAGAUGUUGGGUUAAGUCCCGUAACGAGCGCAACCCUUGUUGUUAGUUGCCAGCAUUAAGUUGGGCACUUUAACGAGACUGCCGGUGAUAAACCGGAGGAAGGCGGGGAUGACGUCAAAUCAUCAUGCCCCUUAUGAGCUGGGCUACACACGUGCUACAAUGGAUGGUACAACGAGCAGCGAUCCCGCAAGGGCUAGCUAAUCUUUCAAAGCCAUUCUCAGUUCGGAUUGCACUCUGCAACUCGAGUGCAUGAAGUCGGAAUCGCUAGUAAUCGCGAAUCAGAAUGUCGCGGUGAAUCCGUUCCCGGGUCU
rnacentral:rRNA from 1 species